rnacentral:rRNA from 1 species
GUUGGAAAUCAUUCAUAGAGUGUAAAGGCAUAAGGGAGCUUGACUGCGAGACCUACAAGUCGAGCAGGGUCGAAAGACGGACUUAGUGAUCCGGUGGUUCCGCAUGGAAGGGCCAUCGCUCAACGGAUAAAAGCUACCCCGGGGAUAACAGGCUUAUCUCCCCCAAGAGUUCACAUCGACGGGGAGGUUUGGCACCUCGAUGUCGGCUCAUCGCAUCCUGGGGCUGUAGUCGGUCCCAAGGGUUGGGCUGUUCGCCCAUUAAAGCGGUACGCGAGCUGGGUUCAGAACGUCGUGAGACAGUUCGGUCCCUAUCCGUCGUGGGCGUAGGAAAUUUGAGAGGAGCUGUCCUUAGUACGAGAGGACCGGGAUGGACAUACCUCUGGUGUACCAGUUGUCGUGCCAACGGCAUAGCUGGGUAGCUAUGUGUGGACGGGAUAAGUGCUGAAAGCAUCUAAGCAUGAAGCCCCCCUCAAGAUGAGAUUUCCCAACUUCGGUUAUAAGAUCCCUCAAAGAUGAUGAGGUUAAUAGGUUCGAGGUGGAAGCAUGGUGACAUGUGGAGCUGACGAAUACUAA